GCACUCUGGCGGCAUGCCUGUUCGAGCGUCAUUUU
rnacentral:rRNA from 1 species